rnacentral:rRNA from 1 species
GUGCAGCAGGCGCGAAUACUUUACAACGUGCGAAAGCACGAUAAGGGAACUCUGAGUGCCUCCUAAGGAGGCUGUUCAGGUGUCUAAAAGCACCUGAAGGAAGGGCUGGGUAAGACCGGUGCCAGCCGCCGCGGUAACACCGGCAGCCCAAGUGGUAGCCACGUUUAUUGGGUCUAAAGCGUCCGUAGCCGGCUGGGUAAGUUCCUUGGGAAAUUUGGCUGCUUAACAGUCAAGCUUUCAGGGAAUACUGCCCGGCUUGGGACCGGGAGAGGUCAGAGGUACUCCAGGGGUAGGGGUGAAAUCCAUUAAUCCUUGGGGGACCACCGGUAGCGAAGGCGUCUGACCAGACCGGGUCCGACGGUGAGGGACGAAGGCUAGGGGCGCGAACCGGAUUAGAUACCCCGGUAGU